rnacentral:rRNA from 1 species
GACGAACGCUGGCGGCGUGCUUAACACAUGCAAGUCGAGCGGAAAGGCCCUUUCGGGGGUACUCGAGCGGCGAACGGGUGAGUAACACGUGAGUAAUCUGCCCUGGACUCUGGGAUAGCCACCGGAAACGGUGAUUAAUACCGGAUAUGACACCUUGCUGCAUGGUGGGGUGUGGAAAGUUUUUUCGGUCCAGGAUGUGCUCGCGGCCUAUCAGCUUGUUGGUGAGGUAAUGGCUCACCAAGGCUUUGACGGGUAGCCGGCCUGAGAGGGUGACCGGUCACACUGGGACUGAGACACGGCCCAGACUCCUACGGGAGGCAGCAGUGGGGAAUAUUGGACAAUGGGCGGAAGCCUGAUCCAGCAACGCCGCGUGAGGGAUGACGGCCUUCGGGUUGUAAACCUCUUUCAGUACCGACGAAGCGUGAGUGCCGGUAGGUACAGAAGAAGGACCGGCCAACUACGUGCCAGCCGCCACCGUAACAC